rnacentral:rRNA from 1 species
AGCAGCCGCGGUAAUUCCAGCUCCAAUAGCGUAUAUUAAAGUUGUUGCAGUUAAAAAGCUCGUAGUUGAAUUUCGGGAUCAAUACGUCGGUCGUGCCUUCGGUACGUACUGGCAUCAUUGAUUUCUCCCUUCUGACGAACCACGAUGUCAUUAAUUUGGUGUCAUGGGGAGUCAGGACUGUUACUUUGAAAAAUUAGAGUGUUUAAAGCGGGCUCACGCUUGAAUACAUUAGCAUGGAAUAAUGAAAUAGGACGUUUGACCCUAUUUUGUUGGUUUCUAGGAUCAACGUAAUGAUUAAUAGGGAUAGUUGGGGGCAUUAGUAUUCAAUUGUCAGAGGUGAAAUUCUUGGAUUUAUUGAAGACUAAACUACUGCGAAAGCAUUUGCCAAGGAUGUUUUCAUUAAUCAAGAACGAAAGUUAGGGGAUCGAAGACGAUCAGAUACCGUCGUAGUCUUAACCAUAAACUAUGCCGACUAGGGAUCGGAUGAUGUUAAUUUUUAAUGUACUCAUUCGGCGCCUUA